rnacentral:rRNA from 1 species
GAAUUCCUGGUGUAGCGGUGAAAUGCGCAGAUAUCAGGAGGAACACCGGUGGCGAAGGCGGGUCUCUGGGCAACAACUGACGCUGAGGAGCGAAAGCGUGGGGAGCGAACAGGAUUAGAUACCCUGGUAGUCCACGCCGUAAACGUUGGGCGCUAGGUGUGGGGCUCAUUCCACGAGUUCCGUGCCGCAGCUAACGCAUUAAGCGCCCCGCCUGGGGAGUACGGCCGCAAGGCUAAAACUCAAAGGAAUUGACGGGGGCCCGCACAAGCGGCGGAGCAUGUUGCUUAAUUCGAUGCAACGCGAAGAACCUUACCUAGGCUUGACAUGCACGGAAAUCCCGCAGAGAUGUGGGGUCCGUAAGGGCCGUGCACAGGUGGUGCAUGGUUGUCGUCAGCUCGUGUCGUGAGAUGUUGGGUUAAGUCCCGCAACGAGCGCAACCCCCGUUCCAUGUUGCCAGCACGUGAUGGUGGGGACUCAUGGGAGACUGCCGGGGUCAACUCGGAGGAAGGUGGGGAUGACGUCAAAUCAUCGUGCCCCUUACGUCUAGGGCUGCAAACAUGCUACAAUGGCCGGUACAAAGGGCUGCGAUACCGCGAGGUGGAGCGAAUCCCAAAAAGCCGGUCUCAGUUCGGAUUGGGGUCUGCAACUCGACCCCAUGAAGUUGGAGUCGCUAGUAAUCGCAGAUCAG